UUGGUCAAUUUCAUUAACUUUUUUAAUACACGAACUAUUGAUAAAACAUGAAUAUUUUUUAAUUUUCCGGACAUCUUCCAUUGGGAUGUCCGCAGCGGAUGCCUUUGUCUGCCUGCCGGUUGACAGCAAUGGUGGCAUUUCAGUCUUCUAGUCGCUGCACCAUGGCCAUGACAGUCGUUGUGCAGCGAGGAGGAUGGAUGCGGCUAUGGCCGGGGCUGGAGUUUACAUAGUCGGCAGAUGGCAGGGCAACUGACGAGGUGGUUAAUGGUGGGCAAUAGACAAACAAACAUGUGGCGUCGGAGUAGGUUCUUGGGCAACCACACAUGCUUAAUGUAGGGAGGCGGAAUGAUGACAUGUCAUUUGAACAUGGAGUUGUCGCGUGCACCGGAAAACAGCGCGAGCGGCGCUCUCGGGAGGCGCCACUUUCAAUGCGAGAGUGCCAGUGAGAGGUCGUGUCGCUCUGAGCCAGCAUAAAUGCAUCGUUGUGCUCUGGAGCGGCGCUGACCACUUCGGACGUGAAGGAUGUGGGAAAGGGGGGCUGGGGUUUGGGUGGGCCAUGGCAGAUAGAAUCGAGGGUGGCAGAUGUCCGGACGCCCGCAAAGCACCUAGCUAGUUUUUGGAUUGCGGGAGAAAUUAAGUUUGGACCAGUCGGCGGGCCGACACAGACCGUCAUUUGAUGACAAAACAUGUCCGGAUCAUGAGGUCUGGAUGAUUGCGGGCUUUUUGUGAGUCGGCGUUGGAGAUGCCCUUACAUACUCUUGAAGAGUUUAAUAAUCCAUUUAAAGUAUUUUAUCAAAUUAUCAAAAAAAUUGAAUUCUAAUAAUUUUUUUGCGAAAUGGAUUCUAAUGAUUUUGAUUAUGUAAUUUUUUUAAUGGAAGGACUGUUUUAUUUGAAAUAUUAUAUUUCAUUCCCAAUAUCUUUUACACUAUUAAGUGUUGACCCUAACGCAAGCAAUAUUAAUAACCGGCUGACAAAAAACAAUGUUGGGGCCUAGCCCACCGGCACGUAACACCCAUCAGGCCAUCACGUGUACCUCCACCGCUAGCUAGCUUAUGCUUAUCCAUUCAUCUCCACGAAGAUGCAUCUGCAUCCAUCUCCCAUCUCUCGCUCCAUCGUUCUCACAUCCAAAAAAGCACCGACAGAGCUAUCCUUCGUGGCCCUUAUCCACAAGGCUGCUCCUCAUCCGUCAUCACCCCAGCUCCCAGCAGCGCUGCUCUCUCGUCUUCUCCGCCCCGCCCCCAGUUCCUUCCAACGCCUACGCGUUGGUGCUCCAGCCAAAGACAGCCACCCCAGCCGCCGUCUGCUCCGACCUGGGCCAGGAGAGGACGCCGAGGCUGGCAAGGGACGGGGGUCGGGCCGGUGUGCAAGGUAGCUAGGAGGCAAAUACUUGGUCGCGCCGAGAACGAGCCUCGUGGCUCCCCCCGCCCCUCUCUAUAAAUCGCGGGUCCCCUCUCUACAAAUCGCGGGUCCGUGGAGCGAACAGCCUUUCUUCCUCUGCUCUGACGAGCUGCCUUGCUUGGAUCCGUCGAGCGAGGCGCCGGUGGCGGCGGUGUCCGACGUGCUCCUGGCCGGUGCCCCUUUCGUCCUCUGCUCUGAGGCCGGGUCCGGGCUUGCCUCUGUUCUUUUGCCAUCACAGUCGACCGCUGCCUCUGCUCCAACCAUGACAUGACCUGAGUUCCUUCUAUUCUUUUUCUUCGUUUAUUUCCUUUGAUUCUUGAGAAACACUCGCUGGAACAUCUCACGCAGACGGGCUAAGGCCCAAGUGGCAACGCAUCAGCCACGAACGAUCGCAAGGCAAGGCCCGAGCAAGAGCGCAGAUGGAAAAUAUAUAGAUUAGUGCACGUACGGACGCAUAUAGAUAGUACCACCUUGGAUAUUAAGAAAAAUAUCAAAUCAAGAAAAAACGGACAGGAAGAAGCGUAUUAUGACACGGGAAGAAAGCGCAUUGUGACGGUGAACCCGGAGACUCAAUCGAUGCUUUAUUAUUAGGAAGAGAUUAUUAUUAUUAUUAGCAAAAAAGCCCGUGCGUUGCAACGGGAGAAAAAAAAUCACAUCCUAAAAUAAAUAUGACUCAAGUGCCCCAUCCACACGAGUCCAUCCAUGUUGGCAUAUGUCACUGCUUAUA